rnacentral:piRNA from 1 species
UCCAGAUCUUAAGGUGGUCUAAUGAUAUCU